ACAAGUCUUGUAGCACCAUGCGUGGCGGGUUAGUUUCCUAUGGUGACUUUAAUUCACCGGCUUCUAGUGAUGCUGUUCUGCCUUGACUCUGGAAAUCUUAUGUCCAGAGACUACAAGGAAUGCACACUUAUAUUAACAUUUUCCUGUAAAUAGGGAAAAAAAUCACAUAUACAGUACUAUGAGUUUAAGUGGCAUGUUAAAUUAGACUUCGAGAUUAAAAAGCUGUACAUGCAAACUUGGCCUUUUCAAGUUUUGAUUGUUGGCCAGCAACUCAGUUUGGUUUUAAUAUUCUUUGUAUGGUUUAUCUUGCAUGCAUGUUCAAAUUUAGUUUAAUGCAGGAGGCAGUUUAAAUAGCAAGCUGUUCUCUCAAGGCUUUCUUUUGACUGACUUUUCAUCAAUUUUGCAUGUCCAGUUAGGGGACUCCCUUUAAGCCAGGGUGACUUUGCCAGGCUCUCCUGGGUCUCCAUCACUCGUCUUGGCUCUUAGGCACUGUGCUGAGUGCAAAGCAGACAUUGGCUUUGCUCUUGCACAUUGUUUAGCAAGCCUUUCCUUGUCCUGGGAUUCUUCCUGUUGAGAGGCUGGGGAGAUCCCGUAGGUCAGAGCCCACCCCACGCUCUCCUCUAGUCAUAGUCUCUUCUCACUUGCCUGCAGACAGCUGGCUGCUUGGGUUUGAACCUGUGCUGACAGACUAGACAGCACUUUUUCUUUUAAGUGUAGAAUAGAGAAUUUAUUUAGGGCAUGGGGAGGGGAGUUAAGAGGGUAGUAGAGACAGAGAGAAAGGCUGAGAGAAGGAGAGAGUAGAUAAGUGGAGGCUGGCCAUGACCAUGUGGAAGGGGUGGGGAGAAAGCAAGAGGAAAGAGAGAGGCCAGAGCAUAAAAGAGAUGACUCUUUUCAUGUUUACUCCUCUCUUACUUUUCUUCGUGGUCAGUAUCCGCGUCUGCAACUGCUUGAGUCCACUUAACUGCUAGCUGUUCCAAUUUGUGGUCGUUUCAGGCCUUAUCUCUGGAUUCGACUCUUUUAAUAUUUAAUUUAAUUCGAUUUGAUUUUUUUUUUUUUUUUGCCCGCUGGAUCAACUCUGUCCCAGUCAGACACUGCUGUUCUGGAGCUGUGCCUCGUCCUUCUAGCUGUCCAGUAUCUGUCAUGCCCCUCUCUCCUAGUGUGGAUAUGGCCGUCAGUCCAGCUUCCUCAGGAUGGCCUCUAACCCAUGCUCUGGAUCCACACUGUCACAUUCUCCUGAGACAGCAGGGCGCAGAGGUAGAUUAUGUGGCUUUUGAUGUGUUAGCGGCAGGCAGUAAGGCUUUCUAAAAGGGAGGGUUGGAAGACAGGUUUAGGCGGCAGGACUUUGCCAAAGGGGCCCAGUAGUGGAUCCUUUGUUCCAUUGACCAUGGUUGUGUUGUUUUCUCCUUCUCAUCCACCCCCCGGGCGCAAAGCCUCUCUGCAGCCCCGAGUGUUUCCAACGUGCAGCACACGGUCGCAUUGUUAUUCAUGGAAGUUUCUCCAAGAUUUUCACGCCAGGACAUGACACGCGCAAAUGGUGGUGAAUGGCAGUCCCCAGGCUGUGUCCAGAAGCAGGGAGAUGAGGGACGCUCCCAGCCAUCAUCUAUCCCAUCCCUGGGGAAGAAGGGACUGGUUGUCUUCUUCACUGAAGCCUGAUUUCAAGCGUGCUGCUGAAAACUUCAUUUGCAUCACCCAGGAGCGUUAAAUAUUCCCAUAUCUGGAGCACAGACCUAUGUUCCCAUGCAAUUGAUGGGGUCCCAGACAUUAGUGAUUUCCAUUGAUUCCGGUGACCCUUGGGAUUACAAAACCUGUUGUUAGGGCUGGAGAGAUGGCUCUGCAGUUAAGGACUGCUCUUACAGAGGUCCUGAGUUCAAUUCCCAGCAGCCACGUGAUGACUCACAACCAUCUCUUUUGGGAUCUGAUGCCCUCUUCUGGUGUGUGUGAAAAGAGUGACAGUGUACUCACAUACAUAAAAUAAAAUAAAAAAAAUCUU
rnacentral:lncRNA from 1 species